GAUGAAGAACGCAGUGAAACGCGAAAGGUAAUGCGAAUUGCAGAAUCAGUGAGUCAUCGAAUCUUUGAACGCACAUUGCGCCCUGUGGUAUUCCGCAGGGCAUGCCUGUUCGAGCGUCAUUUCAACCCUCAAGCCCCGCUUGGUGUUGGGCCCCGCCCGCCGUGGCCGGCCCUAAAGACAGUGGCGGCGCCGCCUGGCCCUCAGCGUAGUACAGCUCUCGCUCCAGGGUCCGGCGGCCGCCUGCCAGAACCCCCCCAACUCUGUGGUUGACCUCGGAUCAGGUAGGGAUACCCGCUGAACUUAAGCAUAUCAAUAAGCGGAAGA
rnacentral:misc_RNA from 1 species